ACGCUGGCGGCGUGCCUAAUACAUGCAAGUCGAACGAACUCUGGUAUUGAUUGGUGCUUGCAUCAUGAUUUACAUUUGAGUGAGUGGCGAACUGGUGAGUAACACGUGGGAAACCUGCCCAGAAGCGGGGGAUAACACCUGGAAACAGAUGCUAAUACCGCAUAACAACUUGGACCGCAUGGUCCGAGUUUGAAAGAUGGCUUCGGCUAUCACUUUUGGAUGGUCCCGCGGCGUAUUAGCUAGAUGGUGAGGUAACGGCUCACCAUGGCAAUGAUACGUAGCCGACCUGAGAGGGUAAUCGGCCACAUUGGGACUGAGACACGGCCCAAACUCCUACGGGAGGCAGCAGUAGGGAAUCUUCCACAAUGGACGAAAGUCUGAUGGAGCAACGCCGCGUGAGUGAAGAAGGGUUUCGGCUCGUAAAACUCUGUUGUUAAAGAAGAACAUAUCUGAGAGUAACUGUUCAGGUAUUGACGGUAUUUAACCAGAAAGCCACGGCUAACUACGUGCCAGCAGCCGCGGUAAUACGUAGGUGGCAAGCGUUGUCCGGAUUUAUUGGGCGUAAAGCGAGCGCAGGCGGUUUUUUAAGUCUGAUGUGAAAGCCUUCGGCUCAACCGAAGAAGUGCAUCGGAAACUGGGAAACUUGAGUGCAGAAGAGGACAGUGGAACUCCAUGUGUAGCGGUGAAAUGCGUAGAUAUAUGGAAGAACACCAGUGGCGAAGGCGGCUGUCUGGUCUGUAACUGACGCUGAGGCUCGAAAGUAUGGGUAGCAAACAGGAUUAGAUACCCUGGUAGUCCAUACCGUAAACGAUGAAUGCUAAGUGUUGGAGGGUUUCCGCCCUUCAGUGCUGCAGCUAACGCAUUAAGCAUUCCGCCUGGGGAGUACGGCCGCAAGGCUGAAACUCAAAGGAAUUGACGGGGGCCCGCACAAGCGGUGGAGCAUGUGGUUUAAUUCGAAGCUACGCGAAGAACCUUACCAGGUCUUGACAUACUAUGCAAAUCUAAGAGAUUAGACGUUCCCUUCGGGGACAUGGAUACAGGUGGUGCAUGGUUGUCGUCAGCUCGUGUCGUGAGAUGUUGGGUUAAGUCCCGCAACGAGCGCAACCCUUAUUAUCAGUUGCCAGCAUUAAGUUGGGCACUCUGGUGAGACUGCCGGUGACAAACCGGAGGAAGGUGGGGAUGACGUCAAAUCAUCAUGCCCCUUAUGACCUGGGCUACACACGUGCUACAAUGGAUGGUACAACGAGUUGCGAACUCGCGAGAGUAAGCUAAUCUCUUAAAGCCAUUCUCAGUUCGGAUUGUAGGCUGCAACUCGCCUACAUGAAGUCGGAAUCGCUAGUAAUCGCGGAUCAGCAUGCCGCGGUGAAUACGUUCCCGGGCCUUGUACACACCGCCCGUCACACCAUGAGAGUUUGUAACACCCAAAGUCGGUGGGGUAACCUUUUAGGAACCAGCCGCCUAAGGUGGGACAGAUGAUUAGGGG
rnacentral:rRNA from 2 species